rfam:Schistosoma mattheei strain Denwood, Zambia genome assembly, scaffold: SMTD_scaffold0001569
AUUCAGCUGACGAAUCCCAGAUAAGACGAGACGCACUUCAUGGAU